GAUGAACGCUAGCGGGAGGCCUAACACAUGCAAGCCGAGCGGUAGAGAUUCUUCGGAAUCUUGAGAGCGGCGUACGGGUGCGGAACACGUGUGCAACCUGCCUUUAUCAGGGGGAUAGCCUUUCGAAAGGAAGAUUAAUACCCCAUAAUAUAUUGAAUGGCAUCAUUUGAUAUUGAAAACUCCGGUGGAUAGAGAUGGGCACGCGCAAGAUUAGAUAGUUGGUGAGGUAACGGCUCACCAAGUCUACGAUCUUUAGGGGGCCUGAGAGGGUGAUACCCCACACUGGUACUGAGACACGGACCAGACUCCUACGGGAGGCAGCAGUGAGGAAUAGUGGACAAUGGGUGCGAGCCUGAUCCAGCCAUCCCGCGUGAAGGACGACGGCCCUAUGGGUUGUAAACUUCUUUUGUAUAGGGAUAAACCUAGAUACGUGUAUCUAGCUGAAGGUACUAUACGAAUAAGCACCGGCUAACUCCGUGCCAGCAGCCGCCGCGG
rnacentral:rRNA from 1 species